rnacentral:rRNA from 1 species
GACGAACGCUGGCGGCGUGCCUAAUACAUGCAAGUAGAACGCUGAAGAGCGGAGCUUGCUCUUCUUGGAUGAGUUGCGAACGGGUGAGUAACGCGUAGGUAACCUGCCUUGUAGCGGGGGAUAACUAUUGGAAACGAUAGCUAAUACCGCAUAACAAUGGAUGACACAUGUCAUUUAUUUGAAAGGGGCAAUUGCUCCACUACAAGAUGGACCUGCGUUGUAUUAGCUAGUAGGUGAGGUAAUGGCUCACCUAGGCGGCGAUACAUAGCCGACCUGAGAGGGUGAUCGGCCACACUGGGACUGAGACACGGCCCAGACUCCUACGGGAGGCAGCAGUAGGGAAUCUUCGGCAAUGGGGGCAACCCUGACCGAGCAACGCCGCGUGAGUGAAGAAGGUUUUCGGAUCGUAAAGCUCUGUUGUAAGUCAAGAACGGGUGUGAGAGUGGAAAGUUCACACUGUGACGGUAGCUUACCAGAAAGGGACGGCUAACUACGUG